AUUGAACGCUGGCGGCAUGCCUUACACAUGCAAGUCGAACGGUAACAGGUCUUCGGAUGCUGACGAGUGGCGAACGGGUGAGUAAUACAUCGGAACGUGCCUAGUAGUGGGGGAUAACUACUCGAAGGAGUGGCUAAUACCGCAUGAGAUCUACGGAUGAAAGCAGGGGAUCGCAAGACCUUGAGCUACUAGAGCGGCAGGGGGCAGAUUAGGUAGUUGGUGGGAUAAAAGCUUACCAAGCCGACGAUCUGUAGCUGGUCUGAGAGGACGAUCAGCCACACUGGGACUGAGACACGGCCCAGACUCCUACGGGAGGCAGCAGUGGGGAAUUUUGGACAAUGGGCGCAAGCCUGAUCCAGCAAUGCCGCGUGCAGGAUGAAGGCCUUCGGGUUGUAAACUGCUUUUGUACGGAACGAAAAGCCCUGGGUUAAUACCCUGGGGUCAUGACGGUACCGUAAGAAUAAGCACCGGCUAACUACGUGCCAGCCGCCGCAGUAACAC
rnacentral:rRNA from 1 species